AUUGAACGCUGGCGGCAGGCCUAACACAUGCAAGUCGAACGGUAACAGGGAUCAGCUUGCUGAUUCGCUGACGAGUGGCGGACGGGUGAGUAAUGUCUGGGAAACUGCCUGAUGGAGGGGGAUAACUACUGGAAACGGUAGCUAAUACCGCAUAACGUCGCAAGACCAAAGAGGGGGACCUUCUGGCCUCUUGCCAUCGGAUGUGCCCAGAUGGGAUUAGCUAGUAGGUGGGGUAACGGCUCACCUAGGCGACGAUCCCUAGCUGGUCUGAGAGGAUGAUCAGCCACACUGGAACUGAGACACGGUCCAGACUCCUACGGGAGGCAGCAGUGGGGAAUAUUGCACAAUGGGCGCAAGCCUGAUGCAGCCAUGCCGCGUGUAUGAAGAAGGCCUUCGGGUUGUAAAGUACUUUCGGCGGGGAGGAAGGGAGUAAAGUUAAUACCUUUGCUCAUUGACGGUACCCGCAGAAGAAGCACCGGCUAACUCCGUG
rnacentral:rRNA from 1 species